rnacentral:lncRNA from 11 species
AGAUAACCAAAUAGUCACCAAAAAUUACCAUUGCGGUGACAACCAGCUAUGGAUUCAAGCAUGGAAAUAACUUGUUGAGACUUCAGGAAGCUUUGUUACCUGGAAACUGGAGUUUAAAAAAACAUAACACAUUUGCAUGCCAUUCACUCAUGAAAUAUGUUGCUCUGGCUGAAGAGAAGAGAUGCUUGGGAUUUCAACAGGAAAGUGAAUGCAGUGGCGGACUGAAUUGCAGUAGUAAGUAAUUUAUACACUGCUGAAUGGCCUUUGGAUCAGAG